rfam:Gorilla gorilla gorilla genomic chromosome, chr3, whole genome shotgun sequence
UUCCUGGUCUCAAGUGAUCUGCCUGCCUCCGCCUCCUAAAGUGCUGAGAUUACAGGCUUGAGCCACUGGCCCAGACUACACUUAAAAUUUUCAAAUUGAGAUAUUUUGGGGGGCAAGGGUGCUUCUAGCAGCCACUAAUUCCAGUUCUUGAGUGCAUAUUAAAGUUGCUACUGUUUAAAAGCUUGUAGUUGGAUCCAGGGAGUGGGUAGGCGGUCAGAGUAACCCUUGCUUCUUGGUGUCUCCUUGAUGCUCUUAGCUGAAUGUCCUGUGUAACCCACGACAUUUACUUUGGGAAAAAAUUAAGAGUGUUUAAAGCAGGAUCAAGCUGCUGCAUACCACAGCUAAAACUACUAGAAUAAGACCCCUGGUUCUGUUUCAUUGUUUUUUGGAGCUAAAGUCAUGAUUAAGAAGGAUGGCCUGGGAUAUUGGUACUGUGCUGCUAGAGGUGCAAUUCCUGGUUCUUUGCAAGAUAGACCAGAGUGAAAGCAUUUGUUAGGAAUGUUUUUAUUAAUCAAGAGUGAAAGGCAAGGCCAGGCGUGGUGACUCAGGCUUGUAAUCCCAGCACUUUGGGAGGCCAAGGUGCGGGAUCAUUU